GACGAACGCUGGCGGCGUGCCUAAUACAUGCAAGUCGAGCGGACAGAAGGGAGCUUGCUCCCGGAAGUUAGCGGCGGACGGGUGAGUAACACGUGGGCAACCUACCCUGUAGAUCGGGAUAACAUCGAGAAAUUGGUGCUAAUACCGGAUAAUCAUUUGAAGUGCAUGCUUCGAAUGUAAAAGAUGGCUCCGGCUAUCACUACGGGAUGGGCCCGCGGCGCAUCAGCUAGUUGGUAAGGUAAUGGCUUACCAAGGCAACGAUGCGUAGCCGAACUGAGAGGGUGAUCGGCCACACUGGGACUGAGACACGGCCCAGACUCCUACGGGAGGCAGCAGUAGGGAAUCUUCCGCAAUGGACGAAAGUCUGACGGAGCAACGCCGCGUGAGUGAUGAAGGUUUUCGGAUCGUAAAGCUCUGUUGUUAGGGAAGAACAAGUGCCGUUUGAAUAAGGCGGCACCUUGACGGUACCUACCAGAAAGCCACGGCUAACUACGUGCCAGCCGCCGCGGUAAUAC
rnacentral:rRNA from 1 species